rnacentral:misc_RNA from 1 species
GAUGGAAGAACGUAGCGAAAUGCGAUAAGUAAUGUGAAUUGCAGAAUUCAGUGAAUCAUCGAAUCUUUGAACGCACAUUGCGCCCGCUGGUAUUCCGGCGGGCAUGCCUGUUCGAGCGUCAUUUCAACCCUCAAGCUCUCCGGAGUUUGGUGUUGGGGCGCCUGGGGCUUUUCGACCUCAGGGCCCUCAAGUCCAUCGGCGGGACCGCCAGGACACUGAGCGCAGUAGUAUUAUUUCGCUCGGUAGGAUCUUCCACGGCGGGUCGAUCUGGCCGCUAAACCCCCCAAUUCUCACCAAAGGUUGACCUCGGAUCAGGUAGGAAUACCCGCUGAACUUAAGCAUAUCAAUAAGCGGAGGA